ACCUUAUCAAGAGUGGCGGAGGGACCGGCCCGAUGAAGCCACGGCAACCUGUUUUUUCAAGGUGCCAAAUCCGGCGAACGAAUCGAAAGAUGAGGA
rfam:Firmicutes bacterium CAG:176 genomic scaffold, scf199